rnacentral:tRNA from 1 species
GCAUUGGUGGUUCAGUGGCAGAAUUCUUGCCUCCCAUGCAGAAGGCCCGGGUUCCAUUCUUGGCCAAUGCC